rnacentral:tRNA from 1 species
GCCUCGGUAGCGCAGUGGGCAGCGCGUCAGUCUCAUAAUCUGAAGGUCAUGGGCCCAGACCUGGCUCGGGGCA